UUCGGUCACAUCACGUUGAAACACCGGUUCCCAUACGAUCACCGAAGUUAAGCAACGUCGAGCCUGGUCGGUACCUAGACGGGUGGCCAAUUCGGAAUACUAGGUGCUGUAAG